UGUUUUUUUUUAUGAUCAAAUCAGUGGGCUUUUUGAUUGAUGUCCAAAACAGCCCAAAUUAUUUAGGGUUUGUUCAAUUUUAGUGGGUGGAGUUGGAGAAUCAGCCGUCGUGGUUCUUCACGUCUCACCGACGAUGGCGAUCGUCUCUGUAACGUCACUUGGAAACAUUAAUCUAAGCAUUAACUUUUCUGCGCCACUCCUCCCACUCUUGAAUUAAAUUGACCAUAUCAUUCUCUAAAGUAAUCCCCUGAAGCUUCAACUAUAAAUGGCUUUGUUGUUUGGGAUGAACAGUCUUACCAAAACAAAAUCCGAAAGGUCUACCUCUGUCAAGCAUUAAAUCCAUCAGUGGUGAGUUCAAUUAUUCUUCUUGCCGAUUUUAAAGCUGGAUGCUGUUCAAACACCGCCCAGGUCCCUCUCCUCAGAUUAAGAAAGGCAAGAAAUUUUAAGAAAGGUGGUCUCCAUAAAGAGAAUGUAACUCCGGCUAGCCACCACCGUGUUUUAUUAGCUCUUUCUACUUAACCUUUUGAUAGUCCGCUCUUAUUAUGUGUUUCUAAAACAGUCAAAUUGUCAACGAGAAGUUGAUUUUGGUUCAGGUUCAAUAGCUUAAUGCUUUCAAAAAUCUAUUGAGGGAAGGAGGGAUAUAUGGGCUUCGUGGUGUUGAUGUCGCUGGAAUCGCGUUUCACUGACCACACGAGCUUUGUUGAGGUCACGUAACAAGUGACCAUCCCAGGAGAGAAGUUUCGUUUUCAAAAGUAUGAUCAACUCAUGGCUUUGGCUAAACCAACGUGGAUUUGGCUGGUUUUUAUAACAACUCAGCACUGUUUUCAAUAAUGAAAAUCAUUCCAUUCAUCAUGUGAUGAUAACAAUCCAAUUAUAAAGGAAAGACACAUCUCUCUCUCUGCAAAGCAAAACUGGGUUAGAUCCAGCGACUGUAGCUUCCUUAUUCAUAUUUUGGAUUACUUUAGAUAUUUCGGAUAAAAAUAUCCGGAUACUUUUGGGUAGUUUGGAUACUUUAUAAUAAUUUAGUUAUCAUCAACUAUUUUCAGAUACUUUUAAUAGAAUUUUAAAUUUAAAAUAUAUAUUUAAUGAUGUUAUAUGUAUAUAUAAUUAAUAUUUUUAUAUAUUCGGGUACACGUUCGGUUCUCGGUUCGGUUCAGUUAUUUCGGAUAUAAAAAUAUAGGAACCGUUCGGGUAUUUGAGGGUAUUGGUCCGGUUCCGGUUUUGGGUAUUUCGGUUCGGUUCCGGUUUGGUUCUUCGGUUCCGGUUAUUUUGCCCAGGCCUAAUUGCUACUAUUAGUACUGGUUGUUGUUUUUUUAUAUUUAUGUUAUAUUUGAGGACUUAUUUUUGCUUUAUGUUAUGUCAGUAAUUUGCUAGAGAUAAGAGUUUAUAUCCAACCAAGGAACGCCUUAUUCAUAUUUUUAGCAAGAAUCUAUAUUAUAAAAGUGUGAAAAAGUGUCAAGUCCAUGGCUCGAACCCGGGUUAUUGAGAUAUAAACACCAACAUUUAUACCACUAAGCUAAAUGAUACUUUGUACAUUGAUGACUGAACCUAAUAUAUAUUUAUGAAGGUCAGAAGCUCUUGCUUCUUCGGCUUCCUCUGAGGGUCGGGCCUACAAGUGUAUUAUGGGUUUCAUUUUUAAAAGGGGUUCAUCACGUUAUAUGAAAAAAACUUAAGUUUGCAACGAUUAUGGUUUUCCUAUAUUGUAAAUUAUUGUGGUUUAACAUGAGUUCGGGUUCUUUUCAAUAUUCUCUCAAACAAGUCUGAGUUACAGAGUUGUGCCGUGUGUGUUCGUAAUCUAUUUUUUCACCGGUAAACUCUUUAUCAUGUCCCCAUCUUAAAUCGCUUUAUCAUAAAUGUUCCUGAUUUGUAGCCCACUGUAAACCAUAUAUAUAUGAUUCUCAUCUUUGAUGAACCCAAUCUGCAUCUCCACAAAACUCAUUGAUUCCUCUUAGCUUUAACCAUUUUCUAGAAAAUGUUUCUCUCUGCCUCUCCAGUUCCUCAAACUGGCGUCCCGGCAUCCGUCACUCAACCCUCGAGUCUCUCUGUCUUGGUCGUAGUAGUCAGAGCAUAGCCUCUGGCUUCCUCCGCUUAUAGGAUUCCUUGAGCUUCAAGAAAGACAUGGAGUUUGUGGGAAUCACGGUUCUCUUCCUUGAUGAAAAGAUUCCGUGAUUCAUGGGUUUACUCCCGUCGGACGUGCUAAUCAUUACAUACCAUCUUUGAAGGCAUGUUCCAAUGUGAAAGUCGAUCAUUUUGAGGUUCUUAGGUGCUCAAGCAUGUACAAGAUAACUGAUCAUCCAUUCCUCAUUUGUUUCAUCUCACUAACCAUUAUUGAUGAAGUCAUCACGGGUGCUUCUGAGAUCAAUUUUCAGUCAAGAUUAGACUGUUCGACAAUCUCGAAGUGAUUGCGAACACAAACCUAAAACUCCAAGAUAUAUUAUCAUAUUGCAUAUGGGUUUAUAUUAUGUUUCGAUAUAAUAAUUGAUAUUUAAACUCGCAGAUGUGGUUAGGCAAAUCCGUUAUGUCCAGGGCUCUGGCCUCACCAAAAAAAUAACUCGAGUCGUUAUCCAUCACCUCAUUGAUCCGUAAGAAACAAUCAACACAUAAUUCCCUUUAUUUUACUGUCUAUAUUAUGCUAACAUCAAUAAUCAAAAAUAUUUCCUACCCAAGAUUUGUGGUCAUCUAUUUAUCUCUCUUACUUAUCAAUCUAAUUUUACACAAAUCUUUAUUUUAAAUCUUA